rnacentral:lncRNA from 1 species
GAAAAUUGGAAUUGAGCAGUUAGAGGAAAUGGCAGAAACUAUCCAACAAAAUGUCAAAUUGUUGGUGGAAAUCUCUAAUUCUCAUUCCAAAUAUACCAAAGAAUUGAAUGACAGAAUUGUUGAUAUUACUUCACAAUUCGAGUCAUUAGAUACCAAACAGGAAAUGCCAAUUGAUACAAUCUCAAAAAUACAAACAGGUACACAGCCAGGAAGCAGCAGUGGACCCAGCAAUAUCAAAAGAGACAUAUCAAGUCCCCGGAAGGUGACUAUAAAAAAU